CUCUGCUACCUCUCUGUGGUUAAUAGUGUAUCCAGCUCAGCCCAGAGCUCUGCCCUGAAGGAUGUCCUUUAUCAUAAAUUCAGAUGUAUCUGCACGUCCCAAGGUGUCCUGAUGCC
rnacentral:lncRNA from 1 species